GACGAACGCUGGCGGCGUGCCUAAUACAUGCAAGUAGAACGCAGUUGCGAACGGGUGAGUACCGCUUAGGUAACUGCGUCAUAGCGGCGGAUAACUAUUGGAAACGCUAGCUAAUACCGCAUACUUUGAGUUGGGCCUACGGUUUAUUAGCUAGUUGGUGAGGUAAAGGCUGAACAAGGCGACGAUACAGAGCCGACCGGAGAGGGGGAGUGGCCCCAAUGGGAAUGAGACACCGCCCCGACUGCUACGGGAGGGCGCAGUAGGGAAUCGUCGGCAAAUGACGGAAGUUCGACCCAGCAACGCCGCGUGAGUGAAAAAGGUUUUCGGAUCCUAAAGCUCUGUUGUUAGAGAAGCGGUAACUAACCAGAAAGGGACGGCUAACUACGUGCCAGCAGCCGCGGUAAUAC
rnacentral:rRNA from 1 species